rnacentral:rRNA from 1 species
GUCUACGGCCACGCCGCCCCGAACGCGCCCGACCCCGUCUAUCUCGGAAGCUAAGCAGGGACGGGCCUGGUCGGUACUCGGAUGGGAGACCACCUAGGAAGACCGGGUGCUAUAGGUG